rnacentral:misc_RNA from 1 species
CGCACAUUGCGCCCCUUGGUAUUCCGAGGGGCAUGCCUGUUCGAGCGUCAUUAUCACCCCUCAAACUUCGGUUUGGUGUUGGACUUAGUUAUACUUCGGUCUAACUGGUCUCAAAGAUAGUGACGGCGUCCGAGAAGGAACCGGUACGAGGAGUUUUUUAUUAAACAUGUACGCGGCAGGAUUCUCGGGCGGCGGUCUUUAUACUUAUAAUUAUACAAGUGUUGACCUCGGAUCAGGUAGGAAUACCCGCUGAACUUAA